rnacentral:misc_RNA from 1 species
UCUCCGUAGGUGAACCUGCGGAGGGAUCAUUACAGAGUAUCAUGCCCUUCGGGGUAGAUCUCCCACCCUGUGUAUUAUAUACCUUUUGUUGCUUUGGCGGGCCGCCUCGGCCACCGGCUCCGGCUGGUGCGCGCCUGCCAGAGGACCCCAAACUCUGAAUGUUAGUGUCGUCUGAGUACUAUCUAAUAUUUAAAACUUGCAACAACGGAUCUCUUGGCUCUGGCAUCAUGAAGAACGCAGC